rnacentral:rRNA from 1 species
GACGAACGCUGGCGGCGUGCUUAACACAUGCAGUCGAACGGAAAGGCCCUGCUUUUGUGGGGUGCUCGAGUGGCGAACGGGUGAGUAACACGUGAGUAACCUGCCCUUGACUUUGGGAUAACUUCAGGAAACUGGGGCUAAUACCGGAUAGGAGCUCCUGCUGCAUGGUGGGGGUUGGAAAGUUUCGGCGGUUGGGGAUGGACUCGCGGCUUAUCAGCUUGUUUGUGGGGUAGUGGCUUACCAAGGCUUUGCCGGGUAGCCGGCCUGAGAGGGUGACCGGCCACAUUGGGACUGAGAUACGGCCCAGACGCCUACGGGAGGCAGCAGUGGGGAAUAUUGCACAAUGGGCGGGAGCCUGAUGCGGCAACGCCGCGUGCGGGAUGACGGCCUUCGGGUUGUGAACCGCUUUCGCCUGUGACGAAGCGUGAGUGACGGUAAUGAGUAAAGAAGCACCGGCUAACUACGUG